rnacentral:tRNA from 2 species
GGCAGGUUGCCCGAGUGGCCAAAGGGAGCGGUCUGUAAAACCGUCGGCGUAGUCCUACGUUGGUUCAAAUCCAACACCUGCCACCA